rnacentral:rRNA from 1 species
UGGGAACGCGAAGAACCUUACCUACCCUUGACAUGUCCGGAGGCCUGCUGAAAGGCGGGUGUGCCCGAAAGGGAACCGGAACACAGGUGCUGCAUGGCUGUCGUCAGCUCGUGUCGUGAGAUGUUGGGUUAAGUCCCGCAACGAGCGCAACCCUUGUCAUUAGUUGCUACAUUCAGUUGGGCACUCUAAUGAGACUGCCGGUGACAAACCGGAGGAAGGUGGGGAUGACGUCAAGUCCUCAUGGCCCUUAUGGGUAGGGCUUCACACGUAAUACAAUGGCGCGUACAGAGGGCUGCUAAGCCGCGAGGUAGAGCCAAUCCCUUAAAGCGCGUCGUAGUCCGGAUUGCAGUCUGCAACUCGACUGCAUGAAGUCGGAAUCGCUAGUAAUCGCGGAUCAGCAUGUCGCGGUGAAUACGUUCCCGGGUCUUGUACACACCG